rnacentral:rRNA from 1 species
GAUGAACGCUGGCGGCGUGCCUAAUACAUGCAAGUCGAGCGAACAGACGAGGAGCUUGCUCCUCUGACGUUAGCGGCGGACGGGUGAGUAACACGUGGAUAACCUACCUAUAAGACUGGGAUAACUUCGGGAAACCGGAGCUAAUACCGGAUAAUAUAUUGAACCGCAUGGUUCAAUAGUGAAAGACGGUUUUGCUGUCACUUAUAGAUGGAUCCGCGCCGCAUUAGCUAGUUGGUAAGGUAACGGCUUACCAAGGCGACGAUGCGUAGCCGACCUGAGAGGGUGAUCGGCCACACUGGAACUGAGACACGGUCCAGACUCCUACGGGAGGCAGCAGUAGGGAAUCUUCCGCAAUGGGCGAAAGCCUGACGGAGCAACGCCGCGUGAGUGAUGAAGGUCUUCGGAUCGUAAAACUCUGUUAUUAGGGAAGAACAAAUGUGUAAGUAACUAUGCACGUCUUGACGGUACCUAAUCAGAAAGCCACGGCUAACUACGCG